GACGAACGCUGGCGGCGUGCUUAACACAUGCAAGUCGAACGGAAAGGCCCUGCUUGCAGGGUACUCGAGUGGCGAACGGGUGAGUAACACGUGGGUGGUCUGCCCUUCACUUCGGGAUAAGCUUGGGAAACUGGGUCUAAUACCGGAUAGGAGCCAUCUUUAGUGUGGUGGUUGGAAAGUUUUUUCGGUGUAGGAUGAGCUCGCGGCCUAUCAGCUUGUUGGUGGGGUAAUGGCCUACCAAGGCGGCGACGGGUAGCCGGCCUGAGAGGGUGUACGGCCACAUUGGGACUGAGAUACGGCCCAGACUCCUACGGGAGGCAGCAGUGGAGAAUAUUGCACAAUGGGCGCAAGCCUGAUGCAGCGACGCCGCGUGGGGGAUGAAGGCCUUCGGGUUGUAAACUCCUUUCGCUAGGGACGAAGCUUUGUUGUGACGGUACCUAGAUAAGAAGCACCGGCUAACUACGUG
rnacentral:rRNA from 1 species